rnacentral:rRNA from 1 species
AGAGAAGCGAUGCGGCGAUGCAGAGCGGAACUUCAAAGCCUGUCUCAGUUCGGAUUGGAGUCUGCAACCCGACUCCAUGAAGCUGGAUUCGCUAGUAAUCGCGCAUCAGCCACGGCGCGGUGAAUACGUUCCCGGGCCUUGUACACACCGCCCGUCAAGCCAUGGAAGCCGGGAGUGCCUGAAGUGUGCAACCGCAAGGAGCGCCUAAGGUAAAACCGGUGACUGGGGCUAAGUCGUAACAAGGUACC